UUCUUCAGGGGCAUCUUCCUGGAUACCAUUGUCCCCAAGUAUGAGGUGAACGGGGUGAAACCUCCCAUUGGCCAAAGGACACGGCUCAGCAAGGGGGACAUUGCCCAAGCCCGCAAGCUUUACAAGUGCCCAGCCUGUGGAGAGACCCUGCAAGACAGCACAGGCAACUUCUCCUCCCCUGAAUACCCCAAUGGCUACUCUGCUCACAUGCACUGCGUGUGGCGCAUCUCUGUCACACCCGGGGAGAAGAUCAUCCUGAACUUCACGUCCCUGGACCUGUACCGCAGCCGCCUGUGCUGGUACGACUAUGUGGAGGUCCGAGAUGGCUUCUGGAGGAAGGCGCCCCUCCGAGGUAACGGCACCAGCCACCCCCUGCUGCCUCCAUGCUGAUUCCCUCUCUGAGCCACCCUCAUCACACUCUUCAUCCCCCUCCAGGGCCCAACACUGGCCAGGGAUGACAUCCUGGUGUGGGAGCCAGGAGUCCUGGCAUCAUUAGUCCCAGAUAGCUGCAUUACUCACUUGCUGCGUGACUUCA
rnacentral:sRNA from 1 species